UACGUAGGGGGCAAGCGUUGUCCGGAUUUAUUGGGCGUAAAGAGCGUGUAGGCGGCUGGGUAGGUCCGUUGUGAAAACUCGAGGCUCAACCUCGAGACGCCGAUGGAAACCCUCCAGCUAAAGUCCGGAAGAGGAGAGUGGAAUUCCUGGUGUAGCGGUGAAAUGCGCAGAUAUCAGGAAGAACACCCGUGGCUAAGGCGGCUCUCUAGUACGGUACUGACGCUGAGACGCGAAAGCGUGGGGAGCGAACAGG
rnacentral:rRNA from 1 species